rnacentral:lncRNA from 1 species
UUCUGGAGGUUAGACAUUAAUGGGGCAAGCUGGAUUACAUUGCUGUUUGCGUUCGGGCUUGCUUGCCAUUUGGUGUGAUUCAAUUCCUACCGAGAGAGGUAAGGAAGAUUCGUGUGUUGCUUGCACUCACAGCAGGGAUGUGAGCACUGAAGGGACUGCAGUGUGCCGGGGAGGUUUGGAAAAUCCUGCUCAGAAAGCUCUCAGGGAAGGUAAGGGCCCUAAUAAGGCAGCAGCUCAGGCCUGAACCUAGAGGAUUUUCUCCAAACCAAAACCCUACUGAAGCCUCAGCAUAAAGCCUAUGAUGAAGAAAGGAACUCACUUCCUAGCCAAAUUGGGGAUCAGAGACACCUCCUUCCCACACCCUACCCCAUCUCAAAUCUACCCCCACCUCCCACUGAAAGACAGAUUUUAAGCCCUUAACAGCCAGGUUCUGUGACUCUGUCACCACCGAGAUGCAUUACUGUCAUUGAAAUGAAGGAAUGAUGAGACCCACUCGGAUUUCAUGGGCAAAAUUCAGUAGGUUGUCUGGGUCCAACUAGUCACUUAACCUUUGAGUCUAUUUCGUCAUGUAUGAAAUUCUCAAGAAUAUUAACUGCAGUUAAGGUAUAAACUCAGAUACAUGUUUUCUCUUCAUCUCCUCCCUAAUAAUUGAACCAUUUUGUUACAGCAACUCAGGCAGAAUCUGAGAUGAACACCUGCGAACACUUUUUCCCUUGAGAGUGCCCUU